CCCAUGGGGUCCCAAAGAGUCGGACACGACUGAGCGACUUUCACUUUCACUUGGCAUGCGGAAUCUUAGUUUCCUGACCAGGGAUUGAGCUGCGCCCCCUACAGUUUAAGUAUGGAGUUUUAACCACUGGACCCACCAGAGAAGUUCCUCUACCAACGCAUUUAAAACAGGCAAUAUGAAGACAACAAGGGGUUUUAAAAAGAAGAGUAAGAAGCAUCAGAUUUACGUCUUUAAAAGAUAAUUUUGAUUGCUACCUGGAAAAUAGAAAGAAAGGGCAAUAGUGACACCAUUUUUAGGGCCCACUGCUUUGGGAGCAUGGUAAACAAAAUAAGUCAGAAAGAGAAAGACAAAUACCAUAUGAUAUCACUUAUAUGUGGAAUCUAAGUAUGACACAAAUCAACAUGUCUAUGAAACAAAAACAGAGUCAGGUAUAGAGAGCAGACUGGUGGCAAUGGGGUUGGGUGGUGGGUAGGGAGGAGGGGAGGGAAGGCAUGGGUGUUGUGGAUCAGCAGAGGCAAAGUAUAUACAGGCUGGAAGAAUAACGAGGUCCUACUGUGCACGCUCAGUCUCUCAACCGCGACCGACUCUGCAACCAGUGAACUGCAGCCUGCCAGGCUCCUCUGUCCAUGGGAUUUUUCUGGCAAGAAUACUGGUGUAGGCUGCUAUUUCCUUUUCCAGAGGGAUAUU